rnacentral:rRNA from 3 species
ACGGGAGGCAGCAGUGAGGAAUAUUGGUCAAUGGACGGAAGUCUGAACCAGCCAAGUCGCGUGAAGGAUGAAGGUUCUAUGGAUUGUAAACUUCUUUUGCCCGAGGGUAAAGUCAGGUACGUGUACCUGUUUGCAAGUAUCGGGUGAAUAAGCAUCGGCUAACUCCGUGCCAGCAGCCGCGGUAAUACGGAGGAUGCGAGCGUUAUCCGGAUUUAUUGGGUUUAAAGGGUGCGUAGGCGGAAUGUUAAGUCAGUGGUAAAAGCGUGUGGCUCAACCAUACCAAGCCGUUGAAACUGGCGUUCUUGAGUGUAAACGAGGUAGGCGGAAUAUGACAUGUAGCGGUGAAAUGCUUAGAUAUGUCAUAGAACCCCGAUUGCGAAGGCAGCUUACCAGCAUACAACUGACGCUGAGGCACGAAAGCGUGGGUAUCAAACAGGAUUAGAUACCCUGGUA